rnacentral:rRNA from 1 species
AUACGGAAGGCAGCAGUGAGGAAUAUUGCACAAUGGGCGCAAGCCUGAUGCAGCAACGCCGCGUGAGGGACGACGGCCUUCGGGUUAUAAACCUCUUUUAGUAGGGAAGAAGCGAAAGUGACGGUACCUGCAGAAAAAGCACCGGCUAACUACGUGCCAGCAGCCGCGGUAAUACGUAGGGUGCAAGCGUCGUCCGGAAUUAUUGGGCGUAAAGAGCUCGUAGGCGGUUUGUCGCGUCUGCUGUGAAAUCCCGAGGCUCAACCUCGGGUCUGCAGUGGGUACGGGCAAACUAGAGUGUGGUAGGGGAGAUUGGAACUCCUGGUGUAGCGGUGGAAUGCGCAGAUAACAGGAAGAACACCAAUGGCGAAGGCAGAUCUCUGGGCCAUUACUGACGCUGAGGAGCGAAAGCGUGGGGAGCGAACAGGAUUAGAAACCCGUGUAGUCCG